UUUCGUAUAUCUAUGUUUAAGUGCUGGAUUCUUACUCCAGUAAAGUGGGUUCACUGCGAAAU
rnacentral:tRNA from 1 species